CAAAGCAAAGCAAAGCAGAGACUACUUGUGCAUUUCGAAUGCUAGUUUCUGCAAUGGAGAUCACAGGAAUAUGUUUGCUCUGCAUUUUCUUUUCACCUGUCUUGUUCUGGGCCUGUCCAGAUCAAAGCGCUGCACUAUUUGCAGGCCUUUGCUCCGGCCACGUGCUGUGGCGGUGCUGUGAGGUACCAUUUGUAAGGCUGUGUUCUGUGCAGCCUGGAUAGACACGCUCCCCUCUUGGGCUGAAGGAUCACGGCCCAUCAUUUGCUUUCUUUGGACGCUGUCUCGACCUAAGCUAACCCUUCUCACACAGGACAGCAAAACCUGCAGCAAAACCUGCUCAUGUACACUCAAUCCCUUGUGUCACGCAGCAGUUGACACACAGGAUGGGGAGAAGCUCUUUCCGUUUGGACUGGAGGAGCACGCAGAGGGAUGCUCUGACAACUGCCUCAACGGUCACACCUGGCAGGUGGAUGACCACGCCACCCGUUGCCAUGGAUUCUUGGAACACACACAUGCAGUAAAGCUUGAGGCCAAGCCUGCUGCCCGUUGCCUCUUGUGCUGCUAGGCCUGAAGGAUGCUCCACAUUAAGAGCAAGGCAGGAAGGUCCUGCCUCAACUGGGAGCCCCCUGCAAAACGCCUGAGGCUGGAGGAAACUGGGAGGCUCAGCAGGAAGAGAAAAUUAAGCCGAGAAGAUGGCAACCUUCUCAUGCAACCUCCAUGAAACAUCUCAGGCUGGAUGAGGCUGUGAGGCUGAGGAGGAAGAGAAAACUAAGCCGAGAAGAUGGCAACCUUCUCAUGCAACCUCCUGCAAAAUGCUGAGGCGGAUAAGCUGUGAGGCUCAGCA
rnacentral:lncRNA from 7 species